rnacentral:rRNA from 1 species
AAACCUUAAUAAUUUGACGGUAAUUAUUUCAUAAAGGAGCUUGUAACUUAAUCGAUACUUCACGUAAACCUUACUUAUAUUAAUUUUGUAUACCUCCGUAUAGAUUUUAUUUAAAAUUUUAAAUAUUCUCUGAAUAAAGUAAUUUAUUACAUCAGGUCAAGGCACAGAAUAUAUAAGUUGUUAUGAGCUACAUUAAAUAAAUAAUUUUGAAUUGUAUUUUAAAAAAUAUAUGAAAUUGAAUUUAUAAGUAAAAUAAUAUAUAAUAUUUAUUUGAAAAGUAAAUAUUUAUGUACACAU